rnacentral:rRNA from 1 species
AUUUUGGACAAUGGGGGAAACCCUGAUCCAGCCAUCCCGCGGGUAUGAUGAAGGCCUUCGGGUGGUAAAUUACUUUUGGCAGAGACGAAAAGGCAUGCCCUAAUACGGGAUGCUGCUGACGGUAUCUGCAGCAUAAGCACCGUACACCCACGUGCCAGCAGCCGCGGUAAUACGGAGGGUGCACGCGUUAAUCGGAAUUACUGGGCGUAAAGCGUGUGUAGGCGGUUCGGAAAGAAAGAUGUGAAAUCCCAAGGCUCAACCUUGGAACUGCAUUUUUAACUGCCGAGCUAGAGUAUGUCAGAGGGGGGUAGAAUUCCACGUGUAGCAGUGAAAUGCGUAGAUAUGUGGAGGAAUACCGAUGGCGAAGGCAGCCCCCUGGGAUAAUACUGACGCUCAGACACGAAAGCGUGGGGAGCAAACAGG